GGGGAAUUACCUCAGCUGGUAGAGCGCUCGCUUAGCAUGCGAGAGGUACCGGGAUCGGUUCCCGGAUUCUCCA
rnacentral:tRNA from 1 species